GUCCCUGUAGCUCAAUGGAUAGCGCGCUGGACUUCUAAUCCAGAGGGGGGUGGGUUCGAAUCCUACCUGGGAUG